AUACGGAGGGUGCAAGCGUUAUUCGGAAUCACUGGGCGUAAAGGACGCGUAGGCGGGUUGGCAAGUCAGAUGUGAAAUCCUACAGCUUAACUGUAGAACUGCAUUCGAAACUGCUAACCUAGAGUAUGGGAGGGGGAGAUGGAAUUAGUGGUGUAGGGGUAAAAUCCGUAGAUAUCACUAGGAAUACCGAAAGCGGAGGCGAUCUCCUGGGACAUAACUGACGCUAAGGCGUGAAAGCGUGGGGAGCAAACAGGAUUAGAAACCCCAGUAGUCC
rnacentral:rRNA from 1 species